rnacentral:rRNA from 1 species
UACGAAGGGGGCUAGCGUUGCUCGGAAUCACUGGGCGUAAAGGGUGCGUAGGCGGGUCUUUAAGUCAGGGGUGAAAUCCUGGAGCUCAACUCCAGAACUGCCUUUGAUACUGAAGAUCUUGAGUCCGGGAGAGGUGAGUGGAACUGCGAGUGUAGAGGUGAAAUUCGUAGAUAUUCGCAAGAACACCAGUGGCGAAGGCGGCUCACUGGCCCGGUACUGACGCUGAGGCACGAAAGCGUGGGGAGCAA